rnacentral:lncRNA from 1 species
AUGACAAACACAGAGGGAAAGAGGAGAGGCACCUGAUGUAUGUUCUCUAGGCCUUUUGGAAAACAUGCCGUUUUUCCUUUGGUCACGUAUAUGUGAAUCUAUAAGAAAGGUGAUAUUGUAGACAUCAAGGGAAUGGGUACUCUUCAAAAAGGAGUGCCCACAAGUGUUACCAUGGCAAAACUGGAAGAGUUUACAAUGUUACUCAGCAUGCUGUUGGCAUUGUUGUAAACAAACAAGUUCAGGGCAAGAUUCUUGCCAAGAGAAUUAGUGUGCAUAUUGAGCACAGUAAGCACUCUAAGAGCCGAGAUAACUUCCUGAAAUGCAUGAACUUCCUGAAAUGAUCAGAAAAACAAAGAAGCCAAAGAGAAAGGUGCCUGGGUUCAACUGAAGCGCCAGCCUGUUCCACCCGGAGAAGCACACUGUGUGAGAACCAACCAAUGGGAAGGAGCCUGAGCUGCUGGAACCUAUUCCCUGUGGAUUCAUGG